rnacentral:tRNA from 1 species
CUUGGUAACAAGGAUUCAGCUCCUCUGCGUGGGUUUACAGCCCACUGCCUUCUUUCGGCCAUAUUACC